CAUGCCGAGGAGCGCUGCAACGGAUUCAAUUCCGCCAGGCUCGGCAGGGAGGUUGAAACAACAUGACAAACCGCGCUCACUCACG
rnacentral:ncRNA from 2 species